CCUGUAGUCCCAGCUACUCAGGAGGCUGAGGCAGGAAAAUGGCGUGACCCUGGGAGGCAGAGCUUGCAGUAAGCCGAGAUCACGCCACUGCACUCCAGCCUGGGCGACAGAGUGAGACUCCGUCUCAAAAAAAAAAAAAUCAGUACUUCCUGGAGCCAUCAGAAUUGAGGUCAUGGGACAAGUUGCUCUCUCCAGAAUUGGAGAGACAGAAAAGCAGAUACAGAGGAUAACUUACCAAGUCAGAAACCUACUAGCAGAAGCCUUUGCAGGACCAAGCACUGAGAGUCCAAGAACUUGACCAUGGACCGCCCUUGGCUCUUCUCCCCAACUUCUGCAGGUUGACCUCAUGUGCAUUUGAUCCCUCGGUCUUCAAGCCUUUUAACUCAAAAAUUGGCAUAAAACAUUGCAAAGUCAAAAAUAUAAUUGCAAGAGAUUUUCUGUUUUGCGUGGAAAUGAAAUCUAAUUCCAGGAAACAGCUAGAUGCCAAAUCCAGGGAAAGUAAGCAUCUGCCAGGGAGACAUCCCUCAACUAUUCUCCCAUGUGACCUUUGUUAAGGUGAAAGGAUCAGGCAAGACAUCCUCAUUCUUGUGGCUGUUUAGCUGACCUCUACCAAGACCUUAUGGCAGGAAUGUCAUGUUUCCAUAACCUUGAAGAUACCAAGUAUAUUAUCUGCUCUGCAAAGAGAUAAAGUACACAAGGCCUCCUUGUUUCAUCUUAGAAACUUCAGUUAAUAGAGAUCAGUAAAGCUAAUUGGAGCUCAUUAGUUGUAGAGGCCAAGUAUUCUCAUAGAAAAAUUAUUCCCAGGCCACAAUUAGAGAAUGUCAAUGCUAGAAGAUAUUGAAGGGUGAUUUUUUAAAAAUUCAACCCCCUUUUUUUUUACAGAUGAAAAACAGGCCCAGAAAGGGGAAGUGACUGGCUGCAGGUCAGCCAUGUCACCCACUUCUGAUUAGACCUAGAGUCAGGAACUAGCUGGAAGUCAGGGCUCCAUCACAGCUAACCACAGCAAGCCAUGGUGCAAGACCUGGGCAAAGUUCUAGAAAUCCACACAGAAAAUAUGAAAGAAAAGCAGUUUCCCUGGUGUGGCUUGGUCCUCGACUGGGAGGGAGAACUCUGCACUUUUGCCACACAAAGCCUGGUUGCUCAUCUUUUCCCCAUAGGAAACCACAGAAGCCCCUUUAUUGUUGGGAGCUGGUGGGGACCCAAUACGUUCUUUCCCCAGGAGAUCAGUUCCUAGGAAGCCAUAAACCAGUCUUUUCAUUUUAUUUAGGCCUCACAAUUAUCCAUAGAGAUGGGCAUCCUCAUUCCAAACCAGCAGAGGAACAGACAGAAAGCUGCAAAUGUCUCUGAGCCUCCCUGUCUCAUGGCUCAGGGUGGCCAGCCCCGACUGGAAGCAUAGCUACCUAGUUCUGAGGGCCUUCUGUUCUCACCAUACCCUGCUGCCCAUGCAUAUUGCUUAUCUCAAUAAUACAAACCAUGUUUAUUUGUUUGCUUGCUUUAUUUGUUUCUCCGAUAGAAAAUAUGCUCAAUGGGGGCAGGGGGAUCUUGCCUGUCUUGUUAUUUAGCAUUUCCUUAGGCCUUUGGGCAAUGGUGGAUACUUCUGUAGGUGUUCAGGAAGGGGAAGAUAGAGGACAGGGAAAGGAGGAGGGAGAAAAGGAGGAAGGAUAGAGAGGAAUAAAGGAAGAAAUUCUGCCUAGGUGCCCUGUACCUCUAUUUUCUGUUCUAGAAUCGGAUCAUUAUAAUGACAACCCCUCUAGUGUGCACAACUUCUACCAUUUAUAAAAUGUUUUGGCAUUCUUUGGAUUCUCCCUAUAACCCUGUAAAGUAGAAAGAGAAGCGCUCUUUAUCCCGAUUCUAUAGAUACAUUCACAAAUUGAUCAUCUCCUGAGAACUGCCAAGUACUAACAACCGUGAUAGCCACGGAUGCACCCAUGACCAUAAUAACCUGGUUCUCAUGGGGAUUUCUUUUGACCUGUCUCCCAAAAUAGAGUAUUGCAGGCAACAGGAAGGCCAUAAUGGCGCUGUGUUCACAGAGAGGGAUUUGCUCUUUGAGUCUUCCCCAAGCUCCAUGCUCCAAACAAGGUGGAACCUUGAGAUGAGUUUUAGAAGGGUAUGUGCAGAAGGAACAGUGCAUACAAAGGUGUACACAUUUGAGAAGUGUGGGGCCUUCCAGCAAUGUGUCUGCCACCUAAGGUGCCUGCAGAAGAGCAGAGGCACUGGCCUUGGAACAGAGAGCAGUGACCAGACCUCAGAGAGCCCUCAAUGCCAGGUGAAUAAGCUUGGACUUCAGCCUGGAGACAUAGGGACCACUGAUGUGUAUACACCAGAAAGUGGCCACAUCUGAUCUUCAAGUCAGAAGAUCACUUUCAAGGAGGCAGUAGAGAAGAUAGAAAGGAGAAGGGAAAGGCAGAAAGGGCAGUGAGAACAAUUCCAGGGCUGGAAGGAUCAUCCUGGAGAGAGAGAGGAAGAGAGUCUGCACCAGGCAGCCCUGGGACUCUGCAGCAGAGAGACUCAGGUAGAGUCAACAACAGAAUGGGCUGUGCUUCUGGGAGAGGAGAGAUCUGCCCAGGGUCUCCAUAGAAAAUAGAUGGUAAACCUUGGUCUUCUGUAUCCUGGGUCAAAAUUCUUCCCAUUGCAGGGCAAGUGCUGCCUCACACAUGAACCUUCUGGUCAGUUCCCCCAAGGAGUACUGCGUUCCCCAGGAGCCUACCUUCUGCUCAGCUACCAGCUCCUGGCCCUAUCCCUCCCUGCCUCUGCUUACCACCACAAAUAAAAGCUUCUUUACCUUCCAGGGAGUGUUAGAGAUUACAAAGCUGCCAGCCAUAGGCAACAAUGUCCUCUACCCUUGAGGGUUAAUGUGGGCCACUACCACCUACUGAGGUACCUCCUGUUCAUUCAUUCAUUCAACAUUUAUCUUGUUUAUUUUGUACUGAGCACAGGGAUCCAUUUGGCCUCUCAGAACUUCUCUACAGUUGUCCUUUUGAAGAUUUGUUUAAUGCUAAAGCUCAAAGAGACUUCUGAGCUUUACUUGGGCUCAUGGUAGCCAUGUGAAGUGUCCAGGGCCACAGCAAGCGGGUUAACAGCUCAAGUCCUGAACUCACUUCCAACCCCAUGGGAUUUCCAAUGACCUCUUAGUGGCCUAGGCAAUUAGGACUUCAUCUUCGGUCUGAUCAAAACAGAAUGGUUUUCAUGACAGGAACAGGGAGGAUGUUGACCUACAGAGGAUCCAACAGGGGAGUGACUGUCCUCGGUCCCUAGGAGAGACAAUGGAAGAUCUGGUUGCUCGACACCAUGCACACCAGCAGCACUCUGAUACAUAUGGUGUUUAUCCUUUCCUCAUUCUUUGGUGAUGUGCUCGUUGAUGAGCUGUGGAGCAUAUCCAGAAUGUUUUUGGAGCUGUUAGCUAUUAUGUCCUAAAAAAUAAUAAAUUGCAC
rnacentral:lncRNA from 1 species